UGCCAAACUGCAUCCCGAACGACAGUGCAGACCUUGGCUCAAGCUAUAUCGGCAUUGAGGGAAGCGGGUUGAAAUCCGACAACUGGUUGAUGACUAUCAAAUCUGUCAACCUAACCAUGGGCGUCACCGACCCAGGCUGUGUCUUAACCUACUUGGGAAUCUUCAACCAGGCAGCAAGUCCUGCAGAUACAGAACUAUACUUCAACGGAUAUAAAACAGGCAUCACGGAUCCAGCUGCUUUCGACGUUCCCCUCUCCUGUUAAUGUGGGCAGCCACACUUCAUCUUGUAGACCCGAUUGUCGUCUGUUGGACUUUACAAAAUAUACAAAUAUUUUUAUAUCAAUAAAAACUACUUAUAAGUA